rnacentral:lncRNA from 1 species
CAGGAAUAUGGCGCCUUUGGCCAUUGCUCAUUGUAGAAACUGCAGACCCAAUUGCAUCCCACUUGAUUCUUUUUUUCACCAUACAUACCACUGGAUCAAGAAAUUGUGAAGUAGUCAUGGGCUCCCACACAAACCAAUUUCAUUGAUUAGAUAGCCAAAAUAAUACAACCAAAGAAAGCAAAGGAGCAGUGAGAGGUGCUUUGUUUUUACUUAAGUAUUUAGCCCUUUAGCUAGGUACAUGGCCCUGGUUUAAGUGAUACUGGAUUUGAGAUUUAAAAAAAAUUGUAGCUGGAGUCUCUUGAUACAGAGUCAGAGAGAGACAACCAUCAAACACAUACACCGGCUUUGGGUCUAUUAUCCCAAUUCGCUCUAAUACCUAGAGUCAAAUCCCUAGAGUUCAGGUAUUACAUCCCCUCAGGUUUCAGAGUUUAGACUGUGAGUGUGACAGGAUGUUUAGCCAGUGCUACAGUUCUUGUAAGAGCAGGAUGCAAAGGGGAAAAUGGAAUAUUGGACGUGAUUGACGGCCAAUGACCGUUGGUAGCAGAGGAUCAUGGGAGAGAAGAAGGGACCUGGAAGAGCCCCGAGAAGAACUCAGGGCUUCUGAGCUGGCGUCCGAAGAUGAUCACGAACUCUUUGAAGGCAGGGACUAUCGUUUGCCCUGCUUUGUGAAACCAGCUCUUGGCAAGGUGCCCACCCCAGGAUCUUUGAAUCCAGCCUGUCCUUGA